rnacentral:lncRNA from 10 species
UGUAGAAGGACUUAUCCCAAAGAGUUCACAGGACUCUGAAUCAAGAGAAUCAGUUACCAAGAAGUUUAAUCAGUGACAUAUCACAUGCAGAUCACAAGAUACUAGACUUUAAGCCUGAAGCCAUAAAUGAAUAAGACUUGUGGAGGUCAUAUAAAAUGGUGAGCAUAUUUUGCAUAUGGAAAGAAGGUAAAUAAUUAUGUCCAAAGGACAGAUUGUGGUAGAUUAAAUGUGACCAUAAAAUUCUUGCCAAUCCUUCAAUAACCACAAAGAUCCUAUUUCUCCACUCUUUGAAUCUGGGCCGGCCUUGGAACUU